rnacentral:rRNA from 1 species
UACGUAGGGUGCAGGCGUUAAUCGGAAUUACUGGGCGUAAAGCGUGCGCAGGCGGUUUCUUAAGUCCGAUGUGAAAGCCCCGGGCUUAACCUGGGAACUGCGUUUGAAACUGGGAGACUUGAGUGUGGCAGAGGGGGGUGGAAUUCCACGUGUAGCAGUGAAAUGCGUAGAUAUGUGGAGGAACACCGAUGGCGAAGGCAGGCCGCUGGGUUAACACUGACGCUCAGGCACGAAAGCGUGGGGAGCGAACAGG